UAAGGAAUAUUGGACAACGGAGGCAACUCUGAUCCAGCCAUGCCGCGUGAAGGAAUAAGGCCCUAUGGGUUGUAAACUUCUUUUAGACGGGACAAAACCCCUUUACGUGUAAAGGGUUGAUGGUACUGUCAGAAUAAGCAUCGGCUAACUUCGUGCCAGCAGCCGCGGUAAUACGAAGGAUGCAAGCGUUAUCCGGAAUUAUUGGGUUUAAAGGGUGCGUAGGCGGACUAAUAAGUCAGUGGUGAAAGCCUGCAGCUUAACUGCAGAAUUGCCAUUGAUACUGUUAGUCUUGAGUACAUUUGAGGUAGGCGGAAUGUGUCAUGUAGCGGUGAAAUGCUUAGAUAUGACACAGAACACGGAUGGCGAAGGCAGCUUGCUAAGCUGUAACUGACGCUGAGGCACGAAAGCGUGGGGAGCAA
rnacentral:rRNA from 1 species